AUUAAAAAAGAAAUUGUGUUUUAAUCUUACCUUUAUCAAGAAAUGAACUUCUAAUAAUGUCAAGGUAAUCAAAUAAAUCUUCCAUGUAUUUGCCGAUUUCAAUGUCAUAUAAUAUGUUGAUACGUUCAUUAUUAUGAUUUGUAAAGUACAGAUUUAUUAUAUUGUUAUUUUGUGCAAUAUAUUGUUAUUUGCCUGAUUAUUUAUUGUUGAAUUUUAUAAGAAAUUGUGAGAAAAAAAAAUGUUUACUUUUUUACCUUCACUUUUUUUUCUCUGAAGUUAAUUUUUAUUGCAGUUAUGUAGACUAUUUUGUAGAUGGUUUUGUUUUUUCAAAUCCUCAGAUAGAAAACAACAAAAAUAUGUUUUGAGAUGCAGCUCAUGCUGAGAAUGUGUUUUGAUAGAAAAUUUACUUUCAAACCUUCUCCAUUUAAUUAAUGUCGGAAAUAAUGUCUGUAUCUUUUAGCCUUCCUCAUCUUUGUUGUCUUAUUUUCAAUAAUAGUGAAAUUCUAGAAAGUGUUGAAAAGGUUUAACUAUAAUCGAAAAAGAAUUGUUUAUAGCACCAAUGGAUAACAAAAUUAUCGAAAUAAAAUUUCUCACAAUGUG
rnacentral:sRNA from 1 species